UACGUAGGGACCAAGCGUUGUUCGGAUUUACUGGGCGUAAAGGGCGCGUAGGCGGCGCGGUACGUCACUUGUGAAAUCUCUGAGCUUAACUCAGAACGGCCAAGUGAUACUGCAGUGCUAGAGUGUGGAAGGGGCAAUCGGAAUUCUUGGUGUAGCGGUGAAAUGCGUAGAUAUCAGGAGGAACACCGGUGGCGAAGGCGGCAUCCUGGACCAACACUGACGCUGAGGAGCGAAAGCCAGGGGAGCAAACGGG
rnacentral:rRNA from 1 species